rnacentral:rRNA from 1 species
GAUGAACGCUGGCGGCGUGCUUAACACAUGCAAGUCGAACGAAGCACCUUGAUUCGAUUCUUCGGAUGAAGAUCUUGGUGACUGAGUGGCGGACGGGUGAGUAACGCGUGGGUAACCUGCCUCAUACAGGGGGAUAACAGUUAGAAAUGACUGCUAAUACCGCAUAAGACCACAGCACCGCAUGGUGCAGGGGUAAAAACUCCGGUGGUAUGAGAUGGACCCGCGUCUGAUUAGGUAGUUGGUGGGGUAACGGCCUACCAAGCCGACGAUCAGUAGCCGACCUGAGAGGGUGACCGGCCACAUUGGGACUGAGACACGGCCCAAACUCCUACGGGAGGCAGCAGUGGGGAAUAUUGCACAAUGGGGGAAACCCUGAUGCAGCGACGCCGCGUGAGCGAUGAAGUAUUUCGGUAUGUAAAGCUCUAUCAGCAGGGAAGAAAAUGACGGUACCUGACUAAGAAGCACCGGCUAAAUACGCG